rnacentral:rRNA from 1 species
UGAGGAAUAUUGGACAAUGGAUGGAAAUCUGAUCCAGCCAUGCCGCGUGCAGGAAGACGGCCCUAUGGGUUGUAAACUGCUUUUGUAUGGGAGCAAUAAGGACUACGUGUAGUUUGAUGAGAGUACCAUACGAAUAAGCAUCGGCUAACUCCGUGCCAGCAGCCGCGGUAAUACGGAGGAUGCGAGCGUUAUCCGGAUUUAUUGGGUUUAAAGGGUGCGUAGGCGGCGAUAUAAGUCAGUGGUGAAAUAUUUCGGCUUAACCGAGAGACUGCCAUUGAUACUGUGUUGCUAGAAUAUGGUUGCUGUGAGUGGAAUGUGUGGUGUAGCGGUGAAAUGCUUAGAUAUCACACAGAAUAUCGAUUGCGAAGGCAGCUCACAAAGCCAUUAUUGACGCUGAGGCACAAAAGUGUGGGGAUCAAACA